rnacentral:rRNA from 1 species
UACGGAGGAUCCGAGCGUUAUCCGGAUUUAUUGGGUUUAAAGGGUGCGCAGGCGGGAGAUUAAGUCGGCGGUGAAAUUUUGCAGCUUAACUGUAAAAGUGCCUUCGAAACUGGUUUCCUUGAGUGUAGAUGAAGUAGGCGGAAUUUGUGGUGUAGCGGUGAAAUGCAUAGAUAUCACGAGGAACUCCGAUUGCGCAGGCAGCUUACUAAACUACUACUGACGCUCAGGCACGAAGGCGUGGGGAUCAAACAGGAUUAGAUACCCCUGUAGU